AACCCUAAACCCAAACCUAAAACCGAAUACCCAAACACAAAUCCAAAUACCCAAACCCACAAUAAACGAACUUACCUUCGUCCACCGAUGCUCGAUUCCGGAACUUGCCAUUUCAGAGCAGUGGAGAGCAAGGGAGACGACGAGACUAUGGAGAAGAGUAGUCCGUUAGCAAGGGAGACGACGAUAACUGUGAGAAAGAAACGAGAGAAAAUGUGAGAGAGAAACGAGAGAAACCUCACAUUCAAACUCAAAAUGCUCAGGGGUAAAAAAGGAAAACAAAAACUGUCUAAAACUCUGCAUUUUUCAAACCAAAUGUAAAAAAAAAAAAACGUAUUGGCCAAUAGCAUUUUGACACGUAGUAGUGUCAAAUGAGUGUCAACUCUAUGGUGUCAAAAUAAGGGGAUCCCUUAGAUAAAUAAGAAUAAAGUUUUCUGCAUCAGAAACUACAUUGUGCUCUCUAGGUUUCCUUAGUUUUCAAAUUGAGUUAUUAUUAGAUUUUCGAGUUCGUAUACAUUUUUCGCUGCGUACAUAUCUGGAGGAAAUCUCGAGGACUUCAACUCGCGUUCGCACCGCUCGGACAGGUGUUCUCCUCAAGGCAUCUUCCAUCACUAUACAUAACAGGUUACCAUUUUCCAACUGCAGUCAGCAAACACACCUGUAUAAUCCAUUUUUCAGAAAAAGGCCACAGCUUCCUUUCCCUAAACUGUGAUUGAUUUCUUCAGCAUGAAAAGCGUGAAGCUGUUCCUUCUCUAUUUCAACUGCAUCACUCAGUUGCUCCCCGGAAAACCUCCAAAUGGUUCUGACAUGCCAAAUACAGAACAGCAACCGCAGGUCUCCCAGGUGUAGCAUCUCAGGUAUAGAGGCACACCAACUACUAGUUUUACCCCUCUUGGAUUGUCAAAUAUGAUUUGUCUCUUUGUUUUGGCCUCAAGUGUUCUACAUUACCCUAUCAUCAGUAGGUCUUGUCUGGUUUCAUGAAUUUCUUUGAAGGACAAAGAAGGAAUGAUACCAUUGCUGCCUUUGAUUAUCAGUCAUGCGCUCUCUGUGGCAUAGCAGUCGCUUCUCUUCGUCCUCGGAGAUUUCAAGGAAUCACAUGACAUCUAUUCUUUCAGUAAUGACACGGAGGACUCUUGCCAUUUCUCCCAUUAUCCUUUCACUGCAUUUUUCUUUUCUUCUUUAUUUCUGUUUCCUCCAUAUUUUUUCUUUUGUACUUUAAUGCUUGUUUGCUUCUCUGGCAUCUUAAAAUGGAUUACAUUACUAGUUAGUUUUGCAACUCCAUUUACAUAACUCUGUUGUGUUAGUUGAGUAAGGAAUUUUUGAAAGAGAAUUUCAGUAUUAUCCAAUUCCAUUUUACUUAACUCUGUUGUGUUACCUGACACACCCUUUCUUACCUCUUGUUUCUCUUUUCUUCUAUAUAUAACUGCACUCGCUCCUUACCAAAUGGAAAACUCCUUCUGUUGAAGUCAAGUGAGAGAAAUCCUUCUUGUGCUUCAUAUUGUCCCUUAAGAUGCAGAACCUAAUGCAUACAUGGGUUGGAAUGCUGUCUCUACAUAGGAACGUAAAAAAAGCAGCUGCUCCUUCCCUAAUUCAACUACUCCCUGGAACGCCUCCCAAUGGUUCUGAGAUGCCAAAUACUCAACCGAAACCUUAGGAUUCCCAGGUGUAUCAGAUCAGAAGAUUCAAUUCAGAAAAGCCUAACUCCACUGCAAACAUGCUUUAAGCAGGAUAUAUUGGGUAAAACUUUCUAAAUAGGGCAAUACUUACAGGUAUGACUGGGCACAGUUAAUUUAAAAACUCUAAACUAUAGGUAAUCUGUACUACUUUAUACUUAAAAAACUUAAAUUAUUUUUACUGAAAACUAAUUAUACUGUUUAAUAUUUCAGUUUAAAUAUACUGAACUUAUUCUAGUUAACUGCCGCCGUUGAAGGUUUUACCGCACUCAGCUGUUGCCGAACCGUUGAGGGUGCUGAGAACAUUUCUCCCUUUUCUGGAAAGAGAAGCAAAGGGAUAUCACUCUGCAACCGAAAGGGGGACUUGAUUUGUGGUUCCUGCCCUUGCAUUUUUCUGGUGAGAGCAAUUUGGAGGAAUUCAUGUAUUUGCAAAUAGAUCAGCCUAAUGACUAUUACAAAAAUUCAGUGAAAUAUUUGCAACUAGCUCUCAACUCAGAACCUUCUGCUUCGGCAACAUUAAUUCCAUUGGUACAGGUGAAAAAACUGCUCCAUUCCAGACUAUUCAAAUGUAGUUUCAAGGAGUGAAUUUAAUCCAAAUUUGUUUAUGAUUUAAUUAGCUUUCUUUUGGUCAUUGGAAAGUCUGAUUCUAUCAUAUGUAUAUGAUGAGUUGAAUUAUGGACGUUAAUUUGCUUGGACGGACCUAGUUAUGGUUUUAUGGCAUGGGGAGAUAACCUUCGUUGAAAUUUUUUUAUGUGAAUUGAAAUGUGAUGUAAUUAUGUGCUGAACAAAUAGUAUUCUGAAAAAUCAAAUAGCGAUAAAGUUGUGAUACAUUGUAUCUCUGUUUUAAACUUUAUUUAAGCUGUAAUAUUAUCUUUGCUUGAAGUAAUAUUUGUCUUGGGUGGGUUCUGAAAUUGUGUGAGGUUGAUAUAUGUUGAUGGGAUAUGAAUAAAUAACAUAAUAUAUUGUGUUGUGUGUAACGAUGCAUGAAUAUAACCAUUACGAGUAUGAUAGUUAUAGUAUAAAGGUGUAAAGAACCUGUAUGCAUUUCAUUUCUGGUAUGUUCUGUUCAAAUAUGUUAGUUUAAAUCUAUUUAUGUUGGACGUGAACUGUGAUAUUUGAAUGGAAUUAUAGUUUAUGAAAUGUUGUUUGAUGGUAGGAACACUAUAUAAUAUCUAAAUCAUGAAUAGAAGAUUGUGUUUGAUAGAAAUUUCGUGGUGCAAUGAUACAGACUUUUCCAUUCAGUUCUUAAAUAAUUGGAUUAAGUCUAAACCUAAUUGCAUGAGUAAUGGUUUGUUAUGCUUCUUUAUAUGGAUAGAUAAUGAAUGCUAUGAAUGUCUAAGACCUUAAUGAAUUUGAAAGUGGUAUGUGAUAUGAUGGGGUAUAAAUGGUUAAAGUAGAGGGUUGAAUUGAAGUUCAUUUUUGGAGAUAGCCACAUUAGGAUAAAACUGUUUUAUAGUGGGUAAUAAAAGUAAUUAGAUACACUGGUUAUAGUUGUUCAAACCUUGUUGUAUCAGUUUUGGAAGUUUUGAAAAUGUUAUAUUUUGUUGUGGACCAAUCUGAAUAUACUGGUUACAUUUUGUACUCAAUCUUCCUGUUGAUGGUUGCAUCUUAAUUAAAUAUAAAUAGUAAAGUGGUAGAAAGAAGGAAUACAAAUGUCCUAUGUAUUUUGAACUUGAGCCUAGUCUAAAUGGAUAUUUCAGUUGUAAAUGGAUCUAUUUUAGGGCAUGGGUGGUUGCAAACGGGUAUCAGUUAACUGAAUUAUUGUAGUUUGACUGAACUAAAAAAUAGUUCGGUUCAUAUUUUUUUAAAUCUGAACUAUUUUUUAAUUCACUUCAGUUUAUUUGAACUAUUUUAUAAUUAACUAUAAUCUUUUAUAGUUAUAGGCAGUAGAGUAUAUUUGUCCACCCCUACUUACAUAUAAAUUCCAAUAGCAGAAAAAAAAAAAAAAAACUCCCCCAUAAGAGUGCUCUUGACGAUGUUGAUGGACUUAAGACUAGUUGCUGGAUCUUGCUGUAUAGAAAACCAAAAUAACUUAACUGAAAUGAAAACAACUAAUGAAAGACCGAGUUAUAGCGGUUUUGUUUUGUCUGCCGUACACCACUUUCUGCAUUAAAGCAAGC